rnacentral:lncRNA from 1 species
UGCUUCAGUGCUGCCACCUCCCGGCGCUGGGGACGUGGGGACAAAGGGACAGACGUGGGGACAGGGAUGGGGACAUUGGGACAGGGAUGGGGACAUGGGGACAAAGGGACAGACGUCGGGACAAAGCGACAGAUGUAGGGACAUGAGAACAAAGGGACAGACGUGGGGACGUGGGGACACGGAUGGGGACAUGGGGACACAGUGGGGACACACUGGGGACACUUUGGGGACACAUUGGAGACACACUAGGAACACAUUGGGGACAUUUUGGGGACACUUUGGGGACAUUUUGGGGACACAUUGGGGACACGUUGGGGACACUUUGGGGACACUUUGGGGACAUUUUGGGGACACAUGGGGGACCUGUUGGGAACACAUUGGGGACAGUUUGGGGACACACUGGGGACACAUGGGGGACACAUUGGAGACUCCUUGGGGACAUUUUAGGGACACAUUGGGGACACAUUGGAGACACAUUGGGGACACAGUGGGGACACACUGGGGACACACUGAAGACAAGUUGGGGACGUGUUGGGGACACUUUGGGGACAUUUUGGGGACACAUUGGGACACUUUGGGGACAUUUUGGGGACACAUUGGGGACACACUGAAGACACACUGGGGACACAUCGGGGACCUGUUGGGGACACAGUGGGGACACUUUGGGGACACAUUGGGGACACAUUGAAGACACUCCGGGGACACGUUGGGGACAUUUUGGGGACACAUUGGGGACACACUGAAGACACACUGGGGACACAUUGGGGACACAUUGGGGACACUUUGGGGACAUUUUGGGGACACUUUGGGACACGUCUCACCCGCUCAGGGUUGUCCG